AUGGCCAUAUCAUGUUGAAUCACUAGUUCCUAUACAAUCACCGAAGUUAAGCAACGUCGAGUUUGGUCAGUACCUAGAUGGGUGACUACUUGGGAAUACCAAGUGCCGUAAG